AUGACGGUAUCCGGAGAAGAAGCCCCGGCUAACUUCGUGCCAGCAGCCGCGGUAAUUCCAGCUCCAAUAGCGUAUAUUAAAAUUGUUGCAGUUAAAAAGCUCGUAGUUGGAUUUCUGGUUGGGCGCAUUUGGCCCGCUUCGGUUACGAGGUUGAGUGCCGUUUUGCGCCCGCCAUCCUUCUAGAGUACGACUCUCCCUUUACUGGGUUGGGCCGGAAUCUAGAUCAUUUACUUUGAAAAAAUUAGAGUGUUUAAAGCAGGCUUACGCUAUGAAUACAUUAGCAUGGAAUAAUAAUUUAGGACUUUGGUCUUACUUUGUUGGUUUCUAGGACUAAAGUAAUGAUUGAUAGGGAUAGUUGGGGGUGCUAGUAUUCAGCGGCCAGAGGUGAAAUUCUUGGAUUCGCUGAAGACUAACUUAUGCGAAAGCAUUCACCAAGGAUGUCUUCUUUAAUCAAGAACGAAAGUUGGGGGAUCGAAGACGAUCAGAUACCGUCGUAGUCUCAACCAUAAACUAUGCCGACUAGGGGUGAGUGAACGUUGCUUAUUCGACUUCAUUCGCACCUUAUGAGAAAUUAAAGUCUUUGGGUUCCGGGGGGAGUAUGGUCGCAAGGCUGAAACUUAAAGGAAUUGACGGAAGGGCACACCAGGAGUGGAGCCUGCGGCUUAAUUUGACCCAACACGGGAAAACUUACCAGGUCCAGACAUAAUAAGGAUUGACAGAUUGAAGAUCUUUCUUGAUUUUAUGGGUGGUGGUGCAUGGCCGUUCUUAGUUGGUGGAGUGAUUUGUCUGGUUAAUUCCGUUAACGAACGAGACCUCGACCUGCUAAAUAGUUUGGUGAAUUCUCCGGGAUUCAUUUACGACUUCUUAGAGGGACUAUCGGUGAUUUAGCCGAUGGAAGUUCGAGGCAAUAACAGGUCUGUGAUGCCCUUAGAUGUCCUGGGCCGCACGCGCGCUACACUGAUACGUUCAUCGAGCUUACAACCUUGUCUGAGAGGACUGGGUAAUCUUUUUAAACCGUAUCGUGCUGGGGAUAGAUUGUAAUUUUUAUUCUUCAACGAGGAAUUCCUAGUAAACGCUGGUCAUCAACCAGCAUUGAUUACGUCCCUGCCCUUUGUACACACCGCCCGUCGCUACUACCGAUUGAAUGGCUUAGUGAGUUUCAGGGAUUGUUGUAUCUGCGUGGUUCGCCAUUCUGGUACAUCCGAGAACUGAAUCAAACUUGAUCAUUUACAGGAAGUAAAAGUCGU
rnacentral:rRNA from 1 species